GUUAGCGGCGGACGGGUGAGUAACACGUGGGUAACCUGCCUGUAAGACUGGGAUAACUCCGGGAAACCGGGGCUAAUACCGGAUGGUUGUUUGAACCGCAUGGUUCAAACAUAAAAGGUGGCUUCGGCUACCACUUACAGAUGGACCCGCGGCGCAUUAGCUAGUUGGUGAGGUAACGGCUCACCAAGGCAACGAUGCGUAGCCGACCUGAGAGGGUGAUCGGCCACACUGGGACUGAGACACGGCACGAAAGUCUGACGGAGCAACGCCGCGUAGCUCUGUUGUUAGGGAAGAACAAGUACCGUUCGAAUAGGGCGGUACCUUGACGGUACCUAACCAGAAAGCCACGGCUAACUACGUGCCAGCAGCCGCGGUAAUACGUAGGUGGCAAGCGUUGUCCGGAAUUAUUGGGCGUAAAGGGCUCGCAGGCGGUUUCUUAAGUCUGAUGUGAAAGCCCCCGGCUCAACCGGGGAGGGUCAUUGGAAACUGGGGAACUUGAGUGCAGAAGAGGAGAGUGGAAUUCCACGUGUAGCGGUGAAAUGCGUAGAGAUGUGGAGGAACACCAGUGGCGAAGGCGACUCUCUGGUCUGUAACUGACGCUGAGGAGCGAAAGCGUGGGGAGCGAACAGGAUUAGAUACCCUGGUAGUCCACGCCGUAAACGAUGAGUGCUAAGUGUUAGGGGGUUUCCGCCCCUUAGUGCUGCAGCUAACGCAUUAAGCACUCCGCCUGGGGAGUACGGUCGCAAGACUGAAACUCAAAGGAAUUGACGGGGGCCCGCACAAGCGGUGGAGCAUGUGGUUUAAUUCGAAGCAACGCGAAGAACCUUACCAGGUCUUGACAUCCUCUGACGUCCCCUUCGGGGGCAGAGUGACAGGUGGUGCAUGGUUGUCGUCAGCUCGUGUCGUGAGAUGUUGGGUUAAGUCGCGCAACGACCGCAGCCAGCAUUCAGUUGGGCACUCUAAGGUGACUGCCGGUGACAAACCGGAGGAAGGUGGGGAUGAUAUGACCUGGGCUACACACGUGCUACAAUGGACAGAACAAAGGGCAGCGAAACCGCGAGGUUAAGCCAAUCCCACAAAUCUGUUCUCAGUUCGGAUCGCAGUCUGCAACUCGACUGCGUGAAGCUGGAAUCGCUAGUAAUCGCGGAUCAGCAUGCCCCGGUGAAUACGUUCCCGCCCCUUGUGGGGGAAUGGCACUGC
rnacentral:rRNA from 1 species